rnacentral:rRNA from 1 species
CCUACGUGAGACAGCAGUGAGGAAUAUUGGUCAAUGGGCGCGAGCCUGAACCAGCCAAGUAGCGUGAAGGAUGACUGCCCUACGGGUUGUAAACUUCUUUUAUAAAGGAAUAAAGUGAGGCACGUGUGCCUUUUUGUAUGUACUUUAUGAAUAAGGAUCGGCUAACUCCGUGCCAGCAGCCGCGGUAAUACGGCGGAUCCGAGCGUUAUCCGGAUUUAUUGGGUUUAAAGGGAGCGUAGAUGGGUUGUUAAGUCAGUUGUGAAAGUUUUCGGCUCAACCGUAAAAUUGCAAUUGAUACUGGCAGUCUUGAGGACAGUUGAGGUAGGCGGAAUUCGUGGUGGAGCGGUGAAAUGCUUAGAUAUCACGAAGAACUCCGAUUGCGAAGGCAGCUUACUAAACUGCCACUGACAUUGAUGCUCGAAAGUGUGGGUAUCAAACAGGAUUAGAUACCCGUGUAGUC